rnacentral:rRNA from 1 species
GAUGAACGUUGGCGGUGUGCCUAAUACAUGCAAGUCGAACGGAGUUAGUAGCAAUACUGGCUCAGUGGCGAACGGGUGAGUAACGCGUUGGUGAUCUGCCUUGAAGUGUGGAAUAACGUUUCGAAAGGAACGCUAAUACCGCAUGUGCUCUCGAUUUUCAGAAAGUUGAGAGUAAAGGAUUUAUUCGCUUCAAGAGGAGCCUGCGUCCCAUCAGCUGGUUGGUAGGGUAACGGCCUACCAAGGCUAUGACGGGUAGGGGACCUGAGAGGGUGGCCCCCCACAAUGGAACUGAAACACGGUCCAUACACCUACGGGUGGCAGCAGUAGGGAAUAUUAGAAAUGGACGAAAGUCUGAUCUAGCAACACCGCGUGUGCAAAGAAGGCCUUGGGUCGUAAAGCACUUUUUGGAAGGAAUAGGAAGGAAUGUACUUCCAGAAUAAGUCUCGGCUAACUACGUG